CCUACGGGAGGCUGCAGUAGAGAAUCAUUCACAAUGGGCGAAACCCUGAUGCAGCGACGCCGCGUGCAUGAUGAAGUAUUUCGGUAUGUAAAGCUCUGUCAGAAGGAACGAGACAAGACGGUACCUGACUAAGACGCACCGGCUAACUACGUGCCGGCAGCCGCGGUAAUACGUAGGGGGCAAGCGUUAUCCGGAAUCACUGGGUGUAAAGGGAGCGUAGACGGCUGAGCAAGCCUGAAGUGAAAGGCAGGGGCCUAACCCCUGGACUGCUUUGGGAACUGUACGGCUUGAGUGCAGGAGAGGUAAGUGGAAUUCCUAGUGUAGCGGUGAAAUGCGUAGAUAUUAGGAGGAACACCAGUGGCGAAGGCGGCUUACUGGAAUGUAACUGACGUUGAGGCUCGAAAGCGUGGGGAGCAAACAGGAUUAGAUACCCCGGUAGUC
rnacentral:rRNA from 1 species